CCUACGGGUGGCUGCAGUGGGGAAUAUUGGGCAAUGGAGGCAACUCUGACCCAGCAACGCCGCGUGAAUGAUGAAGGUCUUAGGAUUGUAAAGUUCUGUGAUGGGGGAUGAAAACAAUGACGGUACCCCAAUAGAAAGCCACGGCUAACUACGUGCCAGCAGCAGCGGGAAUACGGAGGUGGCAAGCGUUAUGCGGAAUGACUGGGCGUAAAGGGAGCGUAGGUGGUUUAGGAAGUUGGCGGUGUAAUUCCGGGGCGCAACCCCGGCGCUACCGCCAAAACGAUUAUACUUGAGUGCGGGGGGGGUAAGUGGAAUUCCUAGUGUAGCGGUGGAAUGCGUAGAUAUUAGGAGGAACAUCAGGUGCGAAGGCGACUUGCUGGACUGUAACUGACACUGAGGCACGAAAGCGUGGGUAGCAAACAGGAUUAGAUACCCCGGUAGUC
rnacentral:rRNA from 1 species